rnacentral:rRNA from 1 species
ACGGCGUGCUUAACACAUGCAAGUCGAACGGAAAGGCCCUUCUUUUGUGGGGUGCUCGAGUGGCGAACGGGUGAGUAACACGUGAGUAACCUGCCCUUGACUUUGGGAUAACUUCAGGAAACUGGGGCUAAUACCGGAUAGGAGCUCCUGCUGCAUGGUGGGGGUUGGAAAGUUUCGGCGGUUGGGGAUGGACUCGCGGCUUAUCAGCUUGUUGGUGGGGUAGUGGCUUACCAAGGCUUUGACGGGUAGCCGGCCUGAGAGGGUGACCGGCCACAUUGGGACUGAGAUACGGCCCAGACUCCUACGGGAGGCAGCAGUGGGGAAUAUUGCACAAUGGGCGGAAGCCUGAUGCAGCAACGCCGCGUGCGGGAUGACGGCCUUCGGGUUGUAAACCGCUUUCGCCUGUGACGAAGCGUGAGUGACGGUAAUGGGUAAAGAAGCACCGGCUAACUACGUGCCAGCAGCCGCGGUGAUACGUAGGGUGCGAGCGUUGUCCGGAUUUAUUGGGCGUAAAGGGCUCGUAGGUGGUUGAUCGCGUCGGAAGUGUAAUCUUGGGGCUUAACCCUGAGCGUGCUUUCGAUACGGGUUGACUUGAGGAAGGUAGGGGAGAAUGGAAUUCCUGGUGGAGCGGUGGAAUGCGCAGAUAUCAGGAGGAACACCAGUGGCGAAGGGCGGUUCUCUGGGCCUUUCCUGACGCUGAGGAGCGAAAGCGUGGGGAGCGAACAGGCUUAGAUACCCUGGUAGUCCACGCUGUAAACGGUGGGUACUAGGUGUGGGGUCCAUUCCACGGGUUCCGUGCCGUAGCUAACGCUUUAAGUACCCCGCCUGGGGAGUACGGCCGCAAGGCUAAAACUCAAAGGAAUUGACGGGGCCCCGCACAAGCGGCGGAGCAUGCGGAUUAAUUCGAUGCAACGCGUAGAACCUUACCUGGGUUUGACAUGGAUCGGGAGUGCUCAGAGAUGGGUGUGCCUCUUUUGGGGUCGGUUCACAGGUGGUGCAUGGCUGUCGUCAGCUCGUGUCGUGAGAUGUUGGGUUAAGUCCCGCAACGAGCGCAACCCUUGUUCACUGUUGCCAGCACGUUAUGGUGGGGACUCAGUGGAGACCGCCGGGGUCAACUCGGAGGAAGGUGGGGAUGACGUCAAGUCAUCAUGCCCCUUAUGUCCAGGGCUUCACGCAUGCUACAAUGGCUGGUACAGAGAGUGGCGAGCCUGUGAGGGUGAGCGAAUCUCGGAAAGCCGGUCUCAGUUCGGAUUGGGAUCUGCAACUCGACCUCAUGAAGUCGGAGUCGCUAGUAAUCGCAGAUCAGCAACGCUGCGGUGAAUACGUUCCCGGGGCUUGUACACACCGCCCGUCAAGUCAUGAAAGUUGGUAACACCCGAAGCCGGUGGCCUAACCGUUGUGGGGGAGCCGUCGAAGGUGGGACUGGUGAUU